AUGGUCUUGUUUUUCCCCCGAUUACCUUUGCACCGACAUCCUAGUGUUUGGACAUGGAGGCUGAGACAUAGGCAUCGUUUGCUGCUAGAUCUGCCUCUAGCCAAGCAGAAGGUGACCAACAGUCACUUGGGUUCCCUGCUGAGGUUAGGGCCAAAGCCACAGCUGGCUGUGGUAGAGGAUUCUUUGUCUGAAGAGAAGGUAGCUCUGGUAGGUGGACAUGGCAGUAAUAAUAUCA
rnacentral:lncRNA from 1 species